CCCUUAGAUGUUCUGGGCCGCACGCGCGCUACACUGAUGCAUUCAACGAGUCUAAAACCUGCUCUGAUAGGGGUGGGUAAUAUUUUGAAUGUGCAUCGUGAUUGGGAUAGAUGAUUGCAAUUUUUCAUCUUCAACGAGGAAUGCCUAGUAAACGCAAGUCAUCAGCUUGCAUUGAUUACGUCCCUGCCCUUUGUACACACCGCCCGUCGCUCCUACCGAUUGAAUGAUCCGAUGAAUAUCAUGGAUUGAGGAUGCAAGUAGGUUAGCCUAUCUUCAUCUUCGAGAAGUGAAGUAAAUCUUAUCAUUUAGAGGAAGGAGAAGUCGUAACA
rnacentral:rRNA from 1 species